rnacentral:rRNA from 1 species
UACGUAGGGUGCGAGCGUUGUCCGGAAUUAUUGGGCGUAAAGAGCUCGUAGGCGGUGUGUCACGUCGUUCGUGAAAACCUGCAGCUUAACUGUGGGCGUGCGGUCGAUACGGGCAUCACUGGAGUUCGGCAGGGGAGACUGGAAUUCCUGGUGUAGCGGUGAAAUGCGCAGAUAACAGGAGGAACACCGGUGGCGAAGGCGGGUCUCUGGGCCGAUACUGACGCUGAGGAGCGAAAGCGUGGGGAGCAAACAGG